rnacentral:rRNA from 1 species
GGCAGUCUCCUGGCCGUGCUCUGACGCUGAGGUGCGAAAGCUAGGGGAGCGAACAGGAUUAGAUACCCUGGUAGUCCUAGCCGUAAACGAUGACCACCAGGUCUGCGGGGUAUCGACCCCCUGCGGGCCGGAGCUAACGCACGAAGUGGUCCGCCUGGGGAGUACGGUCGCAAGAUUAAAACUCAAAGGAAUUGACGGGGACCCGCACAAGCAGCGGAGCGUGUGGUUUAAUUCGAUGCAACGCGAAGAACCUUACCAGGGCUUGACAUGCGAGCGCAGCUGCGGGAAACCGCAGUCCCUUCGGGGCGGUCGCACAGGUGCUGCAUGGCUGUCGUCAGCUCGUGCCGUGAGGUGUUGGGUUAAGUCCCGCAGCGAGCGCAACCCCUGUCGCCGGUU